CUGCGAGGCUGUCUUCACAUUUGGAAUCAACGAUGCUGCCUCCUUCAAAAUUUCUUCCUGGGUAUCGAAAUGAAUUGCAACAACGUUGAUACGCGUUAUGGAUUAUCUGGAUUCAAAGAGCCUGCCAAUAAAUUUUGAAAACAUUGUGCGGUAUCUGAACAGAUGAAUUCAAUGUAGAAGAAUAACAGGUCGAGAGCAAAAACGCCAAGCCUGCACUCUACCACCACACCGUUGACUAUUGAUAGACGCAAGCAGACGACUCAGUCUAUUCCGUUAGACAAGGUCAUGGAGGAAGAACUCAAACAGUUACGAUUGGAGAAGGAGAAAUUGGAACAACUGAAAGAUGAUCUUAAAAAACAGCAGGAGGAUCUCCAUUCUCGUAGUGAGUUGGCAAAACAAGUCAGCUUGUUGCAAAAAGAAAAAGAAAGUCAAGCGCGAGUUUUAAAUGAGCUACGCAGAGGUUCAUCAAGUCAACAGAAACAGACUACAUUGCAGCGCUAUUGACCGCAUCUAGCAAUGAUGGGGGUGAAAUCACCAGAUCAAUCAAUCUCUAAGAACAGAGUAGAAACCAAAUCAAUCACUACGCCGAGUAAAAGUGAGUGUGUAAAAAGUGCGUCGCUUCACCGUUCAACCUGAUCGUGAGAUGCUAGGAGAGCUACUACGUGGAAAGUGUGGAGCAUCCCGGAGGAGAGCUAAGCAGAGACAUCCGAGUAACUUCUCCAUUACUUGGCGACGCUGGUGAGUUUGCAUGAGUUAGGUUACGGGUGUAUUUCCCUGGGACUUCUCUGUCAUGUGGCGUGGCGGUAACAAUUGUUACACGAAUCUUUGAUUUUUUAGCUCUAGAGAUAGACUCAUUCGCAAUCGCAACGAUGCUUGACUUUCAAUCGAGUCAUUUUUUGCCAUUAAUUUUCCCAUAGCUUAGAUGAAGUUAGAUAUUUUGCACGUUGCCAAAAGUGGAAUGAGGAUCGCGACAGGUAACCAUCGCUUACUCGGCAUUCGCGAGAACGAAUUGCGUUUAACUAUAACUGAUAUAAUGAUCUACGUUGAGAUUUAUCAAUGACGUCGCUUAAGGGAUGGAUUUACCUGAGGUUUUUUAAUCAUUUUCACAUGAUUGUUCAAUAGAUGAAAUUUCGAAGUCUGGCAAAGCGUAACGUAAUCAAACUGCAUGUCACAUCUUGAAUCAUUUCCAAUUUUUCAAAGGCCAGCAAGUAUCAAUCAACUGCAGGUUUAGCUCGCUUAGAGAAAUGCCGAUUAGCGUACAGGAUGUUCAUAAUUCAUUUUACAAAAGGUUGAUGUACCGGUAGUCCGCCGGCAAUCGGUAAAAUAAUACCUACGUUAGAAUACCAGGGUUUCUCCGAAGGCCGGCAGACUAAGGUACAAAAACAUUUUGCUCCCCACAGGUAAACUACGCAAAAGUAAGUCAGAGUGACCACGGCGCAAAUGAGGAAGAAUGAUGUGUGUUGGAAAGAAUGGGGAAUCGCUUAGAUCGAAUAUAGGUAACCGGGUAGGUAGAGGUGGUCGUUUUGGGACUCGCCGCGGUGUUUACGCAUGUGUGUGCGAGUGUCUCUCUUCGCAACAUUUCCGUUGGGUGGUUUCGUUGGGAUUAAGGCGAGGGUAGGAAGGUCGCGACGUAUCGCGGUGUUACUAACUUUUGCAAUCCACAGCGUCAAACGAUCACAGUGGUUUUCCUUUCAAAACACACGAACGACUCGGUAUAAGAGUUUCCGGACCAUCUGUAAGCUUUCAAAUUUCAACGAGGCUCAAUUUCGCAUGCUUUUGCCACUGAAACGAUUUCUCAGUCGUUAUCUAGUUCAAUUAUUCAGUCGUCAUUCGUCAUUAUUUUAUUCAAUCGAUCUCUGUGAUCGUCUGAAUGGGCGAAACGCAUCUUUGGACCAUCUUUCGCGU